AGGAUUGCUUGAGUUGGAGUUCAGGAGACCAGCCUCAACAAGAGUGAGAUCGCAUCUUUACCAAAAAUAGACAAAUUUGCUGGGCUUCAUGGUACACGGUGGUGUCCCAGCUAUUCGUGAGGUUAAGUCAAGGGGAUCACUUUAGUCUAGGAGUUUAGGUUGCACUGAGCUACCAUGGUGCCAGUGUAUUCUACCCAUGGUUACAGAGGGAGAUUCUGUCUCAAAAAGAAAGAUACCCAGGCAACACUUUCUUGUGCAAAGGUUCCUCAAGGCCACAUAGAGAGAAGGGAAUGGCUGGGACUAGAACCCCCCAGCCUUUCACGCAGACGUGGGGCAUCCCUGGGCCCAUUUACAGUCUCCCAACAGGAACGCCCACCUCCUAGUACCUCCACGCAUAUGUUCAAUCAAAUCACUGAGGGAUGAGAACACGGCCCCUCCACCGUUUUGAUUUGCAUUUCCCUGAUCCCUAGUGAGACUCAACAGCUUUGCAUCUGUUUCAAGGCCAUCUGUAUUGCCCCUUCUGUGAAGUGUCCACAUAGCUCUGUCAACUUUUCUUUGGGGCAGUUUUGUCUCCUUGAUUUAUUAUGUUUAUUUCAAAUCACUUUUACUCCUAUCAGCUGCAUGUCUUUUGACUUUGCCUAUGGUUUGUCAUGGUAGAAAAGUUUAAUUUUGUCUCGGUCAAUUCCUCUUCAUCACUUUUAAUGCCUUCCAAAACCCUCAUUCAUAAAUAUAUUCACUUUCACAUUAGAUGUUUACAUUCAGUCACCAGGCCACACCACAUGGUCAAUGAUGUGAGUGAGGCAAGGAUGCAGAGGAGGAUCCGAAGGCACAGCCACAGGACCUGAAGCCCUGUGUGGAAGAGAUGAGCCCAUUUGCAUAAAAUUAUUUGGAAAGAGCCACAGGAUGAAAGUCAAAACACAGCAAGCCGAUGAACUGACAGCCCAAGGAACAAAAACUUUUGCUGUAGUAUUCCACCCCCAGGGAACUGUGAAAUUGUCCUCCCAGGACAUCAUCCUGACCACAGCGUAGGGAAACAACCCAACCAUUCCUUGAUGUACACUCACCCACAGGACUCCGAGUCUCCUGCCUUUUGAGGCUCCUUGAUCUUAUCAAAGGACACAAUGGACACCUUCUCCUUGCUAUUUGAUUUAUGAUCCUGGCUUUUGGAAACCUAGUUCACCAAAGAAUAUUAAAAAGUUAAGGCAGUCCAUCCAUGGGUACCCACACUUGUAAUCCAAGUACUUUGGGAGGCCAAGACGGAAGAUUCCUUGACGUCAGGAGUUCAAGGUCAACCUGGGUAAAACCAAGACCACAUCUCUACAAAAAUGAAGAGAAAUGAACUGGACAUGGUGGCAGAUGCCUUUAGAGUGGUUUCAACUACUUGAAAGGCUGAGGAGGGGGAUCAUUACAGCCCAAGAGUUUCAGGUUGCAGUGAGCUGUGAUGACUCCAUUGCACUCUAGACUGUGCAACAGAGCCUGUCACACAAUAAAGGGUAGAAGUAACAAGUGAGCAGAAAAAAAUCAGGUAUAUCAAAGUCCAAAAAUUGAAUGUGGAUAUGCCUCACAUAACGAAAUUCUUUUAUAAAAAUUAUUUUAUUCCCCCCCAAUGAUUAUGUUGUAAUGGAACCACCAGAUAAUGAUGUAUUCUCUCUAAAGAAAUCUUAUGCUUCACUUGCCAUAAUUCAGAGACAGAAUUUCAUCAAUAUUUAAUGCUAAAAUAUCAUUCAUCAUGUACAUUCAACAGGGUAAAAAUGGAAAUGAGCGCUGUCCUAAACUUUUCAUAAGAUCAAAGAAAUUUAUUAUACUCUGUCAUUGGCAUCCAGAAUAAAUUAAAGCACUUCUUGUAUAUA